rnacentral:rRNA from 1 species
AUUGAACGCUGGCGGCGGGCCUAACACAUGCAAGUCGAACGAGUGGCGGACGGGUGAGUAAUGUCGGGGACACUGCCUGAUGGAGGGGGUUAACUACGGAAAACGGUAGCUAAUACCCCAAACCAUCGGAUGUGACCGGAUGGGAUUAGCUAGUAGGGGGGGUAAAGGCUCACCUAGGCAAAGAUCCCUAGCUGGUCUGAGAGGAUGACCAGCCACACUGGAACGGAGACACGGUCCAGAUUCCUACGGGAGGCAGCAGUGGGGAAUAUUGCACAAUGGGCGCAAGCCGGAUGCAGCCAUGCCGCGUGUAUGAAGAAGGCCUUCGGGUUGUAAAGUACUUUCAGCGGGGAGGCGUUACCCGCAGAAGAAGCACCGGCUAACUCCGUGCCAGCAGCCGCGGUAAUUC